rnacentral:rRNA from 1 species
AGAGUUUGAUCCUGGCUCAGAACGAACGCUGGCGGCAUGCCUAACACAUGCAAGUCGAACGCUUGGGCGGGUUUCGGCCCGUCUGGGAGUGGCGCACGGGUGAGUAGCGCGUGGGAACCUGCCCUCUUGUGGGGGAUAACCGAGGGAAACUUCGGCUAAUACCGCAUGCGCCCCAGGAUUUCGAUCCGGGGGGAAAGAUU